GCCUAGCCCUAAACAUAGGUAGUACAGACACAAUACUACCCGCCAGAGAACUACAAGCGAAAAGCUUAAAACUCCAAGGACUUGGCGGUGCUUCAAACCAACCUAGAGGAGCCUGUCCUAUAAUCGAUACUCCACGAUUCACCUUACCCCCCCUAGCCAACCAGCCUAUAUACCGCCGUCGUCAGCCUACCUUAUGAAAGAAAAAAAGUGAGCAAAAAAGUCAGCAACUAGCACGUCAGGUCAAGGUGUAGCAUAUGGGGCGGCAGAGAUGGGCUACAUUUUUCCAAAGCAAAAACCACGAACAUUGUACUGAAACACACAAUUAAAGGAGGAUUUAGUCGUAAGACGAACAAGAA
rnacentral:rRNA from 1 species